rnacentral:lncRNA from 1 species
AGUGUGCUGGAAAGUUCUACAGAUUUCGCCAUCAGACUAUCCAUUCCUAUUCUUGAAAAAUCUGCAGUGCUGGAGUUAUUUGCAAUUCCCCCCCGCCAAUCUUUAAAUAAUUGUCUCAGAGAUAUAGAUAGAUAUAGAUUGCCCACGGGUGAUUUUUUUAAUCCCGGUUACCACUUGUAAUAAAAGAGGUUGAAUUUUGGAGAGAAUUGAUAUUUAAAUUGCAUGUUUUUUUUUCUGUAUUAUAAUUAUGCACAUUGAUUUAGUUUUAAAAUUAGUGAGGUUGGAAUGUUAGUAUUUUGAUUUGAAAUCUGGGAUCUUUGGAGGUGAUUUAAGAUUAUGGUUUGAUAAGAACUCCAUUUUCUGUUGAUGUGGAGACAUAGGGUACCUCCAACUUUCCGGGGUUUCAGAAGAGAAUUUUUUAUUGAAACUGGAAGACCAAAAUAAUUACAAGCAUGUUGUGCUGGGGAAAUGCAUCCUUUGGGCAGCUAGGUUUGGGUGGAAUUGAUGAAGAAAUUGUACUAGAGCCCAGAAAAAGUGACU